GAUGAACGCUGGCGGCGUGCCUAAUACAUGCAAGUCGAGCGAACAGAUGAGGAGCUUGCUCCUCUGACGUUAGCGGCGGACGGGUGAGUAACACGUGGAUAACCUACCUAUAAGACUGGGAUAACUUCGGGAAACCGGAGCUAAUACCGGAUAAUAUAUUGAACCGCAUGGUUCAAUAGUGAAAGACGGUUUUGCUGUCACUUAUAGAUGGAUCCGCGCCGCAUUAGCUAGUUGGUAAGGUAACGGCUUACCAAGGCAACGAUGCGUAGCCGACCUGAGAGGGUGUCGGGCCCCACUGGAACUGAACCCGGGCCCAGACCCCUGCGGGAGGCAGCAGUAGGGACUCUCCCACAUUGGGCGAAACCCUGAGGGAGCACCGCCGCGUGAGUGAUAAUGGUUUUCGUAUCUAAAAACUCUUUUAUUAGGGAAAAACAAAUGUUAAAGUAACUAUGCACGUCUUGAGGGUACCUAACCAGAAAGCCCCGGCUAACUCCGUC
rnacentral:rRNA from 1 species